rnacentral:rRNA from 1 species
AGAAUUUGAUCUUGGUUCAGAUUGAAUGCUGACGGCGUGGAUGAGGCAUGCAAGUCGAACGCAGUCACGGGCUUGCUCGUGAUUGAGUGGCGGAAGGGUUAGUAAUACAUGGGUAACCUGCCUUUAACCUGGGGAUAACAGUUGGAAACGACUGCUAAUACCGAAUGAGGUGCGUGGGAGCAAUUCCAAGGCAUCAAAGUGGGGGAUCGCAAGACCUUGCGGUUAGAGAGGGGCCCAUGGGAUAUCAGCUAGUUGGAGUGGUAAUGGCACACCAAGGCUAAGACGUCUAGGCGGAUUGAGAGAUUGACCGCCAACACUGGGACUGAGAACUGCCCAGACUCCUACGGGAGGCUGCAGUCGAGAAUCAUUCGCAAUGGGCGAAAGCCUGACGAUGCGACGCCGUGUGAGCGAAGAAGGCCUUCGGGUUGUAAAGCUCUUUCGCCUGGGAACAAGAGAAGUUGGCGAAUAACCGACUGAUUUGAGGGUACCAGGUAAAGAAGCACCGGCUAACUCCGUGCCAGCAGCUGCGGUAAUACGGAGGGUGCAAGCAUUAAUCGGAUUUAUUGGGCGUAAAGGGCGCGUAGGCGGGAAUGUAAGUCAAAUGUGAAAUCCCGGAGCUCAACUCCGGAACGGCAUUUGAGACUGCGUUUCUUGAGGGUAGGCGGAGAAAAUGGAAUUCCACGUGUAGCGGUGAAAUGCGUAAAUAUGUGGAAGAACACCUGUGGCGAAAGCGGUUUUCUAGCUUAUUCCUGACGCUGAGGCGCGAAAGCAAGGGGAUCAAACAGGAUUAGAUACCCUGGUAGUCCUUGCCUUAAACGAUGUAUACUAGGUGUCGUUGGAUUCAACCCUAACGGUGCCGUCGCUAACGCAUUAAGUAUACCGCCUGGGGAGUACGCUCGCAAGGGUGAAACUCAAAAGAAUUGACGGGGACCCGCACAAGCAGUGGAGCAUGUGGUUUAAUUCGAUGCAACGCGAAGAACCUUACCCAGGCUUGACAUGCAGAGGACAGCGCCAGAAAUGGCGUCUCCCUUCGGGGCUUCUGCACAGGUGCUGCAUGGCUGUCGUCAGCUCGUGCCGUGAGGUGUUGGGUUAAGUCCCGCAACGAGCGCAACCCUUGUCAUUAGUUGCCAACACGUGAAGGUGGGAACUCUAAUGAGACUGCCUAGGUUAACUAGGAGGAAGGUGAGGAUGACGUCAAGUCCGCAUGGCCCUUAUGUCUGGGGCUACACACGUGCUACAAUGGCCGGUACAGAAGGCAGCGAAACCGCAAGGUGAAGCAAAUCCGUAAAGCCGGCCCCAGUUCAGAUUGUCGUCUGCAACUCGACGACAUGAAGUUGGAAUUGCUAGUAAUGGCGUGUCAGCUACAACGCCGUGAAUACGUUCCCGGGUCUUGUACACACCGCCCGUCACAUCAUGGGAGUUGGUCUUACCCGAAGGCUCUGACUCAACCGCAAGGGGAGAGGAGUCUAAGGCAAGGCCGAUGACUGGGAUGAA